rnacentral:rRNA from 1 species
UACGGAGGGUGCGAGCGUUGUCCGGAAUUACUGGGCGUAAAGCGCGUUCAGGCGGUUUGGCAAGUCGGGCAUGAAAUCUCUCGGCUCAACCGGGAGAGGUUGUCCGAUACUUCCAGACUUGAGGGCAGUAGAGGGUGGUGGAAUUCCGGGUGUAGCGGUGAAAUGCGUAGAGAUCGGGAGGAACACCCAGGGGGAAACCAGCCGACUGGGCAUCUGCUGACGCUGAGGUGCGAGAGCGUGGGGAGCGAACCGG